rnacentral:lncRNA from 1 species
UUUUAAUGUCCAACAUUUAUAAUAUGAGGGCUAGUGCUUUCUUGCCAAGUUUAUAAGUUUUCGACUGGCUUGUAAGGUCAAUAGGGAUACUCCUUUUUGUCUAAUUUGGUUUCUGGGAAGACUUCAUUCAGGUCCUCAAUGGUCAUCUGAUCAAAUGGAAUUAUGUUCUUCAUCUUCUCCAGCAUUUUUUCAUAUUCUUCAAUCCUGGCCUUUGAGAGAGACAAAAACUCAGCACAGCGUUUCACAUCUUUUUUUUUCCCUCAGCAUCCACCUGGACAAUGUAUUUAUCCUCUGGCACAGAAACUUUCAACCUUCAAGGCGUUAAACUUCUUAUCAAAGUCAUCUACCAGGCCAGCCUUUGCCACAUUGGCCUUGUAGUAAGCCCAGUCGAUAGCAGGUGGUUUCUCAGGAAGAGUAGCCAACCUGGAGGGACACUGGAGCAAGAUGAUUGGACAAUAAGACUGCAAAUUCUACAUACUGCAAAUGCAAAUGGCUCUGGAGUGGUAUCUGAGACCAGGAAGGACACUGGUCAGCCAGAAUCUGUUGAUCACUUGCCAGAGACAAGGAAAGCAGGAAACAAAUAUGAAUUCCAUAUCUCAACUUCCAUCUGCUAUAAGCCCUCUGACCAAUCUGACCAGCAAUAA